CUCCUACGGGAGGCAGCAGUGGGGAAUAUUGCACAAUGGGGGAAACCCUGAUGCAGCCAUGCCGCGUGUGUGAAGAAGGUCUUCGGAUUGUAAAGCACUUUAAGUUGGGAGGAAGGGCAGUAAAUUAAUACUUUGCUGUUUUGACGUUACCGACAGAAUAAGCACCGGCUAACUCUGUGCCAGCAGCCGCGGUAAUACAGAGGGUGCAAGCGUUAAUCGGAAUUACUGGGCGUAAAGCGCGCGUAGGUGGUUUGAUAAGCGAGAUGUGAAAGCCCCGGGCUUAACCUGGGAACGGCAUUUCGAACUGUCAGGCUAGAGUAUGGUAGAGGGUAGUGGAAUUUCCUGUGUAGCGGUGAAAUGCGUAGAUAUAGGAAGGAACACCAGUGGCGAAGGCGACUUUCUGGUCUGUAACUGACGCU
rnacentral:rRNA from 11 species